UAAGGAAUAUUGGUCAAUGGACGCAAGUCUGAACCAGCCAUGCCGCGUGAAGGAUGAAGGUCCUCUGGAUUGUAAACUUCUUUUAUCUGGGACGAAAACGGGAUUUUUAUCUCAAUUGACGGUACCAGAGGAAUAAGCACCGGCUAACUCCGUGCCAGCAGCCGCGGUAAUACGGAGGGUGCGAGCGUUAUCCGGAUUUACAGGGUUUAAAGGGUGCGUAGGUGGGCUUAUAAGUCAGUGGUGAAAUCUCCGAGCUUAACUUGGAAACUGCCGUUGAUACUAUAGGUCUUGAAUUAUCUGGAGGUAUGCGGAAUAUGUCAUGUAGCGGUGAAAUGCUUAGAUAUGACAUAGAACACCAAUUGCGAAGGCAGCUUACUACAUAUAAAUUGACGCUGAGGCACGAAAGCGUGGGGAUCAAACA
rnacentral:rRNA from 1 species